rnacentral:rRNA from 1 species
UGCGUAGGCGGCGCGGUAAGUCGGGUGUGAAAUCUCGGGGCUUAACUCCGAAACUGCAUUCGAUACUGCCGUGCUUGAGGACUGGAGAGGAGACUGGAAUUUACGGUGUAGCAGUGAAAUGCGUAGAUAUCGUAAGGAAGACCAGUGGCGAAGGCGGGUCUCUGGACAGUUCCUGACGCUGAGACACGAAGGCCAGGGAGGCAAACG